rnacentral:rRNA from 1 species
UACGUAGGGUGCAAGCGUUGUCCGGAAUUAUUGGGCGUAAAGAGCUUGUAGGCGGUUUGUCGCGUCUGCUGUGAAAUUUCGGGGCUCAACCCCGAACUUGCAGUGGGUACGGGCAGACUAAAGUGUGGUAGGGGAGACUGGAAUUCCUGGUGUAGCGGUGAAAUGCGCAGAUAUCAGGAGGAACACCGAUGGCGAAGGCAGGUCUCUGGGCCAUAACUGACGCUGAGAAGCGAAAGCAUGGGGAGCGAACAGG